UGCACUGUCUGCAGAAUCCUUUGUCAUGGGAAAAACACAGGAAGUGUAAUACUGCAACAUCUACAACUGCUCUGCCCUGCUGGGAUUGAAUUAUUAAUCUUCUGUAUAAUGGAGAUUAAUAUCCCUUACAGAUGCAAAGGUAGGGCAGGACCUCUGUCUUCCCCGGAAAAGAGCUUUCAAGUACAAUGAUGGGAUACAGAUCAGAGUUUGGAGCCUAAACAAGAUCUCACAGCCUCUACAACAACUCUCUGUAUCUGAAAGUGAAGAAAGAAUUAAUUCUGUGUGGUAAGAAGCAUACACUGUUCUGGGCUCAGGAGACACUGGCUCCUGUGCAGCUUCUUUCUGGGAAACUGUGUUUGGUAAGAUGCUCUUAAGAGAGACAACGAAAUAAACAGAAACUGCUGCAAGGUCCUUAAAGGAUGUUCUAUGGCUUAUGGACUGAUGCUGCUGCUGGAGGACUCAAAAAAA